UACGGGGGGGGCAGGCGUUGUUCGGAAUUACUGGGCGUAAAGGGCCAGUAGGCGGCCAACUAAGUCGGAUGUGAAAUCCCCAGGCUUAACCUGGGAACUGCAUCCGAUACUGGAUGGCUUGAAUUCGGGAGAGGGAUGCAGAAUUCCAGGUGUAGCGGUGAAAUGCGUAGAUAUCUGGAGGAAUACCGGUGGCGAAGGCGGCAUCCUGGACCGACAUUGACGCUGAACGGCGAAAGCUAGGGGAGCAAACGGG
rnacentral:rRNA from 1 species